UUUAAUCUUUCCCAAAUUAAAACACAUAAGGAUUUUGGUCACCCUCAAGUCCCUGGUCAGCCUCCAGUCGCUUUCCCCCUCCACUUUCUGAUGUCCUUUCUGCCUUGGUGUAACUUUAUACUUUUAGAAUAACAGAGAUAUUACAAACUAAACUUAAAAAAACAGGGAUAUUCUAAUUCAUCCUGGCCCAAACAUCUGAAAGUACAUUAACUCCAAUUUUAGGUCAUUGGAUUAUGUGUCUCUUCUGUUUCUCGGCUUGAUCCCCAACUCUGAAGGUCUGAACUAGCACACUGAACUCAGGCUGAAGUCUAAAACCAAGAUCAGUCAAAAUAAAAAGCCAAACAUCAGAUAAAAAGAGGCUCUUGGGUUACACACAGCCUAUACCGGAUUCUGACAAAUAACAAUCUAAAGUUAAGGCCAGUCUCCAAAUGCCAAGAGAAAACACCUUUAGGACAGCGUAUAAAAAUGCUUAUUCCAGGGUCUAUGGAAGAGCCCUGAUGAAAUCUCACAAAACUUAACCAAGAUUCCGGACCACAUAGACUCUACUCUUCAUGCAAACACCAGUCUAAAAUUUCACCCAAAACCAGUUGGACAACAUCCUGCUACUCACAAAAGUGGGACUGCUAAGUGAAAGGGCCCAAGUUCAAUUCUCGGUUCGGGG